rnacentral:rRNA from 1 species
GACGAACGCUGGCGGCGUGCUUAACACAUGCAAGUCGAACGGAAAGGCCCUGCUUUUGUGGUGUGCUCGAGUGGCGAACGGGUGAGUGACACGUGAGUAACCUGCCCUUGACUUUGGGAUAACUUCAGGAAACUGGGGCUAAUACCGGAUAGGAGCUCCUGCUGCGUGGUGGGGGUGGGAAAGUUUCGGCGGUUGGGGAUGGACUCGCGGCUUAUCAGCUUGUUGGUGGGGUAGUGGCUUACCAAGGCUUGGACGGGUAGCCGGCCUGAGAGGGUGACCGGCCACAUUGGGACUGAGAUACGGCCCAGACUCCUACGGGAGGCAGCAGUGGGGAAUAUUGCACAAUGGGCGGAAGCCUGAUGCAGCAACGCCGCGUGCUGGAUGACGGCCUUCGGGUUGUAAACCGCUUUCGCCUGUGACGAAGCGUGAGUGACGGUAAUGGGUAAAGAAGCACCGGCUAACUACGUG